GCCAGAGCCAUAUCUCCCAGGGUUGAGCCUGGCCAGUACCUGGAUGGAACACCUCCUGGGAAAACUAAGGUUGCUGCUGGAA
rnacentral:rRNA from 1 species